rnacentral:rRNA from 1 species
AACGAACGCUGGCGGCAUGCCUAACACAUGCAAGUCGAACGAGACCUUCGGGUCUAGUGGCGCACGGGUGCGUAACGCGUGGGAACCUGCCCUUAGGUUCGGAAUAACUCCCCGAAAGGGGUGCUAAUACCGGAUAAUGUCUUCGGACCAAAGAUUUAUCGCCUUUGGAUGGGCCCGCGUUGGAUUAGCUAGUUGGUAGGGUAAAAGCCUACCAAGGCGACGAUCCAUAGCUGGUCUGAGAGGAUGAUCAGCCACACUGGGACUGAGAUACGGCCCAGACUGCUGAGGGAGGCAGCAGUGGGGGAUAUUGAAAAAUGGGCGGAAGCCUGAUGCAGCGACGCCGCGUGGGGGAUAAAGGCCUUCGGGUUGUAGACUCCGUUCGCUAGGGAAGAAGGGAAAGUGACGGGAGCUGGAGAAGAAGCACCGGCUAACUACGUG